UCUGUAGACGAAGAUGAGUCCUCCAAAUCACCAACCGCCGCCGCGCUGCUCCCGCUCCAAAAUCUGCGACGGUCGCCGGUUGCCCUGCGCCCCGUCCCAGACGCCGCCCGAUGCGAGGACGCCCUCCCCUCACUGGAGCGCCGCCCUAAACCACGAGUGGCCUUGCAUCCCCAACGCCGCCGCCCGAGGACGCUGGCCUGCUCCUUAUGCAUCCCCGACAUCUGCUCCGCAUCCCCAAGGCCGCGCCGCCCGUCCCCCUGACGCGUCGCUGCCUGAAUCGUGGGAGUCGCAGUCGCGCACAUCUUUGGCGGCUUGCCCCAGUGUCGCCGUCUUCCCAGUCAUCGUCCGCACGCCGCAUUGUUGCCCUCCGCUACACCCGUCGAGGACACAGUUAAGGUCCUCCAACACGCCACCGUCCACGCCCCGUCGUCGUGCACCAACAUACCGCAUUCCUACCGUCCUCUUCUGCGGACUCGCACUCUGCAGGUCGCCUCUGCCCCGGCUGCUACGGAUACUGAAACUACUGCUCUGCUGUUGUCUUACAGUUUUCAGACACACGGGUAAUGCCCCUUGUCUUCCCAUGCGUUUUAUGCGUAUGCAAUAAGCAACGCAAUGUUACUUCUGUUAGAGAUUCAGAUUAGAUAGAUUUGAAAAUAGAGUGAAAGAGUCCACGGUGCCUUUGGGCUAAAAAUAUUAUUGACAUCCAAGGUUUCCUGUAUGUUACUCUGAAAGGCCAGGUAGAACCAUCUCUGCUAGGAGAGUACUCCAUUCUGUUCUAAUAUUAGUGCAAUGCAAAAUUACUUCCUCAUCUGGUUGUGACUAGAUCAAACAAAAAAUAUUUAGCAUGGGAGAUGCAUGAUGUGUAUUGAAUUUUUGGGAAUAUCUCACGGGUCUGACAUAUCAUCAAUUAGUCUAAAAAUAUAUUAUGACGAAAAUAAUAAUUGGAACAUUAGCUUUUAUAGAAUCUUCUUUAUUUAUUGUUCCACUUUAAUAGCUUGUUUGUGCCGUGAUGUGUGUGUUUGCUGACACUUGCUCGGUCCGGAAAGUUCAAGACUUUAUAUUGCUACCUUUUUUCCAAGGUAACAUUGGUCCAAAGUUUACUUUUUUUCUUAGUUUAGAUUCCCAGGUUAUUGCUUAUGCAACCCUACAUCUGUUUAAUUCUUCUGACAUGGAGGCACCUAAUAUAUGUUUUCUCCAUGUAGACUUGGUUUUUCAGUAUAUAUAUUGUUUCUAUUUGGUUCUUGGAACUUUCAUUUCAUGCACGUAUUAUUAUUUCAAAUAGAUGCAUUUUGUCAUUAUGACUUUCCUGGAACUUUCAUGCGCUCGCAUGAAUUUGUGCUCAAUAGGUUUGUCUCUGCCACUAAAGCAGUUCGGAUAUUUAUAAAUAUUGUUUCAGUCAAAUUAGAAUCCUUAUGGGGGUGCAUCCUGACCUAUAACCCAGAUCCCAGACCAUAGAUGUGUUCCUGUCAACGACAGAAACACCAAUCAGUUUUUCCAAAUCGACAAGCUUCGUAGAAUAACCUGUUGAUGAGAUAGCUAGCAGUUUUGUUUUCUUCUGAACAUCAACGAUUUCUUUUAAGUGAACUUAGUUUGUUCUUUCUCUUGUCAGCAAUGAUUGCACCGAAAUCCCAAGAAACCACUGCCUUACAAUUAUAUUUGUUCUCGGUUCACUUUUUCUUAUCUUGUGAGCAGCGAUUCCACACAAAAUCCCCUAGCAAAAAGGUAUAUGUAUACGUCCAUUAGUUAAUUAUACUCUAUAUAAAAGACAAUCAAUCUACCGCAUCUCACAUUCACUGAUGCACUGUAGAUAAGCUAUUUAUCUCUUCUUCAUCAAUUCAUUCCGUGACGCGUGGAGUUCUUUCUUUGUAUUUGAUCGAUUGGAUGGUAAAUUAAAAUUCGUUGUCCUUUUUUCUAAGCUGGAAGGCUACCGGCUACCGGUUACUAGACCUGCUUCUGGUGACCCUCCGUCAACUCCACACGACACGUGCAUCCUCUUUCUAGACUUUUCCCCAGAUCUCCUUUCCUCCCCACCUCCCUCCCUGACCUCCAUCUCCACCGGCCUCCCCCUGGUACCCUGGCCGAGAUCCGUCAAUAGUCAUCAUCAACAGCUCACCUCUGGUCGUCACCCAUUGUCGCCACGCCUAGGAGCUGCGCAAGGAGGCCAGCCACAUGGGGGAGUAGGGAUGCGGAGGAUGACGGGCACCUUAGAUUUCUCCGGCAGUCAUGCAUAGAAGCAAAACGGCGUCGUCGCGGUGGUGAAUCGGCGGACGAGACCGGCGUCGUGAUCUUCCGAUGACCAACUGCGCGGGAGGAAUUCGGAGCUCGCCGGAGUCGUGAUGACGGCGACCGCCUCAGAGGGGAAUCAGCGAGGACACCGGCGCGGUGCCGCCAGCGUGCAGCAGCGAAGGAGAGGAGGUCCGAGAUGGUUGGAUUCGUGUCGCAGGGGACCUCCAUUGUGGGCGGCGACCGUGAAGUGGGUCGGUUCAUUCGCCGGCGUUGCAGCCAUCGCUGAGAUACUCCGGCUUUGUCGUCACAAAUGUUCACUUGACGGCAACGAUGCACACUGAUGCAUGCACAGGGAGCAGCGGCAACGGAAAAUAAUAAGCUUCCUACGUCGGGUCUGACAGCAUGGAGGCUGCUGCAGUUGGCGUGCGAGGGCGCGUGCAAGGCCGGCAACCUUUUUCCUGCAUCCAGGAUCUCAUCACCAGAAUGCACAUCGGAGAUUGAGACCACUUGCUGAUAAAUUGAGCAGGUAUAGUGCCUUGAAACCUCUUGGAUUUCGUUUGGAUUGCGAUGUUUUUCCCUUUUCUGUAUCUUGGAUGUGAACUUAAUUAGAAGAAUCGCCAUAUUCAUUUUUUGGUUCCUGGCCUGCAUCUCUUUAUAGCUGUCACUUCGUGGAUUGUGAUAUGCGGAGUUCAAUUUUUAUAUAUUCAUUCACAAGACAUCAGAAAUGAUAUAUGCUCAUUCACCUGUACCUCCCAAUGAAUAUUUCUGCAUACUCAUGUACAGUAACAUGAUCAAUUCAUAUUCAGAUAAUUUGCUUAUCUUUUAUUAUUUCAUAGCCCAUAGGGCCAUAGGUCAGUCAAGCAGAUACAAUUGAACAAACCUUAUACUACAUGCCCAAGAUUGUCAUCAUCCAUACGGUCAUCGCACUUAUGGUAAUUGUUUCCAUACACAAUCCAGUAGGUAUUUGCACUACAGAACUGCAGGCAGAACUGACAGAACAUGUUGCUGCAUCUAUGUCCUUGUGCUAUGUCGCAACAGGUGAUCAUUAUGACAAAAUGCGUGCAAUAUUCCAAUAAGAAACAAUAUAGGCUGGGCAAUGUGUCUGACAGACAUUUGCAGGUUCAUUUUGUGAUCAUCAGCGACAGUGCCAGGUCAACGUUUCCAAUAUCGUCAUGGCUGUCAAGGUGCCAAUUGCCUUGAAUUGUUCAUGAAGCUCCUCUACUACAUACCUAUGGUGGUGCUAGCGUCCAUCAUUCUGUCAGCGCUUCCCAGACUGAUUAACAUCGGAGGAGCUUGCAGCAUAUGGAAAAUUGAGAACAUGGAUUUUCUCAUAUGCCUCCAUGCGUUCUUUGGCGUUCUCUUUGGGUCAGUGGAGGUUGGCCUUGAAGUUGCAGUAAUAUGAUUGAUAUAACUUGCUCCGAAUUUCCUAAUCAUAUAUGCACAUUGUACUUCAGUUAACUGACUUGAUUAUGGCUGAUCAUUGCAGCUUGGAAUCUCCUUUGCAAAGAUCAUCAUAUAGUCCAUCCGGCCUCAGGUAGUGGUUCUAGGCAGGGUCCAAGGCACAAACAUGUUUUGCAGCGUCAGGCAGUACCCUGUGGCAUGUCAAACACUAACUGUAUAAGUCAUACACAUCGAUACAUCUUUCGUAUGCUUCAUCAACGCAACUUUUAUCAAAUAAAUUUACUAAUGAUCACAGUAAGAAAACCUCACUUUAUUUUAAAAUCAGUGUAAAUUCUUAGAUAGAUGUUAUUCAUCCAGGAUCAUAGAACGAGACAUCUAAUGAAAAAGCGAGGGAAAGGGUGCAGUCAGUUAUCCUUGACAUGUCAAGUAAGUUUCUGCAAAGAAGUUCAUGGUUGCUAGCUGAUAAUGAAAACUCAUAAAUAUGUUUGAUUCAUGCUUCCAUUCUACAGAUGUGGUAAACAUGGACACUUCAGGACUUGUGAGGUUGAAGUAAAUACACAUCGACCUGCUGUCUAUGGGCAUACAUGUGAAAUGAUGAACUGACAAGCAUACUUAUGUUUUGGCAAGUAUUUCCAGUUUACUCUGUAUAAAAAUUCUAACUCGAGUGUUCAAUCAUUAUCUGCAGAUUGCUAUUGCCAGUCAAAGAUGGAAAGGUUACAAUAUCUGAUACCGAAGUGCAUAUACUGCCGGUCAUCCAUAUGAGCUCUCUUAUAAUUUGUUUUGUUUGCACGGUGCCUUUCAUCGCUUAAUUUUUCGGAGUAUGAUGUUUGCUUAGUGCUUGGUCAUGCGCAGGCAUGUUAGUUCGUAUGUUUGCUUUUUUUUUUUCUCCUGCAUAUUCUAUGUACGUACUCUGCAUACCUGUUAAUUAAUAUAUGGCCUUUUGUUGCUCUGGUUUCUAGGAUCAAUCCUCAGAAUCAGUUUGAUACGCAAGACAACGAAGCUAACGAAGCUUUUACCUAUUCUACUACUGCACGCAGCUGCUAUAUGUUAAGUUUCUGGAGCUGGUUCUAGAGUGCAAGCACUACCCUAGCUUUUCAUUGAACUAUUUUGUAACUACGCAAUCUGCGUUUAUAAAUGCAGAUAAGUUGUUUGAAAUUAAGUAUUCCAGCUUGAGCUUAAAUAGUGUUUGCUACUGAAUUUAUCAUCUAUCGACAAGCCUUCGGAGGUCCUUUUGAA